rnacentral:lncRNA from 1 species
UCUUGUCAGUGCAGAGGUCGAUCUGCGACCGCACCUAAAACUGUGCAGACCGCAUAUUGGUUUUUGAGAAUAAUCACCCAGGUGGUAGGGUGCAGACCGCACAUGAAAAUGUGCGACCGCACUUGUCUCUUCUCCCUUCUCAAAUUUUUGGGUAUAAAUAGAAUAGUGGUCCUCAUCUUACACUUUUCCCUCUUUGAACAAAACACUAUUACUCUGCAAAUGUUUCUUGGAGAUUUUCCCUGUCCACACACACAGCCACCUAGAUUACUCACUCAGUGCAUUCACUAUAUCUGGUAUCCCUCAAUUUCAUGUUAAUUUUUUAAGUUAGUUUAAUUUGUCAAUUUUUUAGUUCUUUUUAGGCCAUCUGUUAUUAGAGUUCCAUUGUGUGUCCAUGUGGGGUAGAUCUGAAUUCGGUUAACUUGAUACAUGCUCUAAGGGGACUGGGUUAGUGAAAUUUCAUGCUUUUACAAUGUUGUCAUGCCUAUUUAUGCAAGAAAUUAAAACAUCUUAGACUAAAAAAAGUUAUUUGUUCGUAAUGGUUUGAAUUCUGCGGUCAUACUUGAAUUGUGCGGUCCGCAGAUAUGAAUGUUUUAGACACUUAUGUGAGGCAGGAAUCUGCAGUCGCGGGUCAAAUUGUGUGGACUGCAGAUUUUCUCUUGCAGCCACAGAUUAGGCUUUUUUCUCUGUCAUCAGAGAGUCUUCACUUUUAAGACUCCAAGGUGUAGCCUCAAGGCAAAUUGUGCGAACCGCAGAAAUCCUCUUGCUGCCGCAGUUUGACCAUUUCUCUCUCAUCAUAGAGUUCACAAAUUUGGGGCUCAGAAGUGCGGUUGUAAUCCUAAUUGUGCGAACCGCACUUCCCUUCUACGGCCGCACAACACAAAUGUGCGGACCGCGAGUUCCCAUCUACGGCCGCAGGUCAAAUUAUGUGGAGCACAUAUCCCGUAUCCUGCAGGCAUGACUCAACUGUACAACCCCAUUGUGUCCUAUGGUUUCUCCCUUACCUACAUGUCUCAUGUAUGUAUUUGAACAAUGAAUUGCAACUAAAAAUCUCCUCUACUUGAUACAGGUACUGGUUCGAUCAAGCGGACGAGGAGACACUUCAAAAGGGAGAGGUGAAUCUGAUCGAGGUUAAGUGACGAGCGCAAAACACACACUUAAAUUUUGCUCGCUAGUAAAAUAUCAUAUAGUAUAAUAUCGUAUCCACAGGGAUUGAAUUUGAAUAGUAUUGUUGUAGUUC